ensembl:lncRNA
GCAGCUCAAGGUGAAUUUCUUUCUUCUCAAGAUACAUGUAGGACCAAUGGGAACACAGCAAAGGGCUGUGGAACUAGCCUUGAAGCUGGAGGAGGUGAUGCUGGGGAGAAUGCUGCCUGAUGACAAGGAUUUAGCUCGAUGAAGGAGGCGGAAGACAGCACAGGAAAUCUCAUGGACAUAGGAGAUUGGUGGGCUGCAGUCCAUGGGCUCACAUGAAGACAACAUGAAGAUAAUGGUGACCUCCUUCAAAAGGACUUCUGCAUGCUUUCCUGUAUUCAGUGCCCUUGACCCUGUGGCAGGCCAUUGUCGACCCAUGCCUCCACUGCAGACUCCUGGACACUCACAGGCAAGUCUGGCUCAGUCUCUUUUGGGGACACUGCUCCUGUCUCCUGGCUCCUGGUGCUCAUGAGGUUUAGUUUGUGCCCCCUAAGAGGCUGUUUUCCCAGUCCUGUGUACCUUCUGUAAUCAAAUCCCACUGGCUCUCAAAGUCAAAUUCCCUGGGGGUUCUCAG